ensembl:lncRNA
AUGGCCGCGGAGCAGCCGCCUCCUGGGCUCCCGGCUGCUUUCCUGGUGCGUGCAGCGGGGAGGAGGCAGGCGCGGAGCAGAACCGGUUCAAACGCUGCACGCACGCCGAGUGCCAAGCCCGGGAUUUCAGAAGAGAGCACCGUGUCAAAUGCAGCGUCAGUGUUCGGGUUUAGAAAAACGAGGUCUCAUUGUGUAAGACUACGAAACGCAGAAAGCAGCUGCACGAUUCCGGCGGUGAUUAACUCCGAGCAAAUCCCGAGAGUCGCCCAACAUCUGCAGCUCCAACUUCCCAAGAAAAGGCAAGCCCGCAACUACUUCCCAGAUCUGGCGAACUCGCUUUCUGCUUUCAUUAAAGCCAGUGAAAGUUUUACUACCGAUUCCUAUCUCGGCGAGAUAAGGGGUUUUCUGUGCUGGAACACGAGGCCCGAGAGCCCCGCUCCUUUCUGGGGCACGCAGACGACAACCUAUCUGCAGAAACACAAGCCUUCUGAGAGCGCUGCUAAACAAUCUGGCCAGUACUGUCGGGGCGAGUUUCCGUGCUAAUUACAGACUGCUUCGGAAGUCCCUCUUCUCUGCCCCCGAGGGGACGGCUCGCGCUGAGAUCUUUGCCCUGGUAGGGGGAUGAAGCGAGACGGCCCGUGGUGGGGAUUUACGGGGCCGCCCCGCGGACUUCCGGAGCGGUCUGAAUUUGCUUUUGCAAUGAGCCUCAUCGCAAGACGAUGCAUCUGGGAAGAAAGCACGCUCCCGGCCGGAAGAGCCGUGGCGCUCGCCGUCUCCCCGGCGGGCCGAGGAUCUGAAGAACACUCGGGGGUAUUGUGGAGCCGCCGCCGCCCGCCUGCCUGCGUCUCCCACGGCUCUGCGCUGCAGAGGAACUUCUCGUGACCUGGGCUCAAGUAUUCCGAGUAUUUGGAGGAACACAGCCGAAGAAACGAACUUGCAGCGUUCAUAAAGGAGUUGUUACACGGCCACAGAGAGAGAUCUGAAACAGCAGCCGUGCCUGAAACGCAAUGGCUGUGUUAAAACUUAGUGCUGCUGAGGGGUUAGGGAUGCUGGCGGUGAUGCCGAUCAGCAGCGAUUGCUGUCUGGGGGCCCUCGAUGCCUCUGAGGAGCACGAGUGCUUCAUUAGCAAGAAAAAGGUGGUCCCAUCAGCUGUGCGAUCACACAAGCCUGCCUCACUGCAAGGCUCAGCCCUCACAAGGUGCUUCCCUUCCGAAUUUAUUUGCCACUUUAGCGCUGGAUUAAAGACACCCCAAAUUCCGGUAAUACACCCAGCGCAAGGAUGAAACACGGGAUUGAGGAGUCAUUAACCGCAUGCUAAUCCCUUAAUCCCAUCCCGUGGUACAGGAGCAGCACGAAAUACCGCUGCCGCCCGGCACUCGGUAUUUACUCGCAGGAUUUUACCCCUAAACAAACUUACGAGCGAGAUAAAUGCAAACGAGCAGCUUGUUAGGAUGCUACCAGCCCCGAGAAGCGCCGGCGAGCAGCCUGACGGAUCGCUCCCAACCCGGCGCGACACGCGGCGCUACCCACACCGCGUGCUGUUCGCCGGGGCCGGCCUCCUCCGGGGGCAGCCGAGCACCCUCCUGGGGCCUCCCCGUCCCGCUGCAGCCCCCCUGCAGCGCGGUGCCAGGCCCCGGUGCCGGUCCCGGCCUCGCCGUCGCCCUCACGCGAGGCCUCCGGCGCACACGCGGCCGGCGGGGCGAGGCCGUGCGGGCGACGCCGCGGGGGCUGUGCAGCCACGCCGGGCGGGCAAGGCACGUUUGCCCUUUUUUUUUUAUUGCCCCAAACCGAGCAAAUCUCAGCGUGGGGCUGAACUUCGAAGUCCGUGCCGUUAGCGAGGCGAGCCCGUAGUCGCAGCCCGCUGCCAGCCCCGCGCAGCCUUCCCCGCGGCCCCAGCACGCGGCGCUCCCCCACCCGGGGCCCCUCGCGGAGGCGGCAGAGCGAGGCCGGGACGGGAAAAAAAGAAUAAAAUAAAUAAAAAGCAGCA